rnacentral:rRNA from 1 species
GACGGGGGCCCGCACAAGCAGUGGAGUAUGUGGUUUAAUUCGAAGCAACGCGAAAAACCUUACCAGGUCUUGACAUCCAACUAACGAAGCAGAGAUGCAUCAGGUGCCCUUCGGGGAAAGUUGAGACAGGUGGUGCAUGGUUGUCGUCAGCUCGUGUCGUGAGAUGUUGGGUUAAGUCCCGCAACGAGCGCAACCCUUGUCAUUAGUUGCUACGCAAGAGCACUCUAAUGAGACUGCCGUUGACAAAACGGAGGAAGGUGGGGACGACGUCAAAUCAUCAUGCCCCUUAUGACCUGGGCUACACACGUACUACAAUGGCCGUUAACAGAGGGAUGCAAUACCGCGAGGUGGAGCUAAACCCCAAAAACGGUCCCAGUUCAGAUUGCAGGCUGCAACCCGCCUGCAUGAAGUCGGAAUUGCUAGUAAUCGCGAAUCAGCAUGUCGCGGUGAAUACGUUCCCGGGCCUUGUACACACCGCCCGUCACACCAUGGGAGCCGGUAAUACCCGAAGUCAGUAAUCUAACCGCAAGGAGGAUGCUGCCGAAGGUAGGAUUGGCGACUGGGGUGAAGUCGUAACAAGGUAGCCGUUCGGAA